rnacentral:rRNA from 1 species
AGAGUUUGAUCCUGGCUCAGAACGAACGUAGCGGCGCGCCUAACACAUGCAAGUCGAACGCGACAGGGGCAACUCUGUUGAGUGCCGCACGGGUGAGUAACACGUAGGUAAUCUCCCCCCGAGUGGUGGAUAACCCUCCGAAAGGAGAGCUAAUACAGCAUAAGACCACGGGGUCGAAAGACCUUGAGGUCAAAGCGGAGGAUCGUAAGACUUCGCGCUUGGGGAUGAGCCUGCGGCCCAUCACACUGGAACUGAGACACGGUCCAGACUCCUACGGGAGGCAGCAGGGGAAUCUUGCGCAAUGGACGAAAGUCUGACGCAGCGACGCCGCGUGGGUGAUGAAGGCCUUCGGGUUGUAAAGCCCUGUGGGGAGGGACGAAUAAGUUGCGGCUAAUACCCGCAGCGAUGACGGUACCUCCUUAGCAAGCACCGGCUAACUCUGUGCCAGCAGCCGCGGUAAGACAGAGGGUGCAAACGUUGUUCGGAAUUACUGGGCGUAAAGCGCGUGUAGGCGGCUAUGCAAGUCAGAUGUGAAAGCCCUCGGCUCAACCGGGGAAGUGCACCCGAAACUGCAAAGCUAGAGUCUCGGAGAGGAUCGUGGAAUUCUCGGUGUAGAGGUGAAAUUCGUAGAUAUCGAGAGGAACACCGGUGGCGAAGGCGGCGAUCUGGACGAUGACUGACGCUGAGACGCGAAAGCGUGGGGAGCAAACAGGAUUAGAUACCCUGGUAGUCCACGCCGUAAACGAUGGGUGCUAGGUGUCGCGGGCUUUGACCCCUGCGGUGCCGCAGCUAACGCAUUAAGCACCCCGCCUGGGAAGUACGGCCGCAAGGCUAAAACUCAAAGGAAUUGACGG